UAUCCAUCCCAGCUCUUCUACGGUCUAUCCGGGUCUCGUUUGGCGUCGCGCUCUUCUCUCUCCCGCAGUCUUGAGCGACGCGUGACACAGCGUAUCAGUGAGGAGUUGCAGCGCCGAGAGUUGUGGAUGAACACGUGCACAAAGACAGCCGCACACUUAUUCCCCGUUAUACGGUCAAGGCGCGCACAAGGGUGGUGGCUGCUGUGGUCUCUGUUCUUUCGCACAGGUUUCUCCAGAGUAAUCGAGGACCUUCGGCGCACCGUGCCUUUUUCUCCAUUUCUCAAUCCACUCCGCUUAUCCGUGUAAACGAUGGCCUCAGAAAGUCAUGACGAUAUCGUUGCUGAGCAAUCGUCGUCUGUGUGGUCUGUCCUUCGAGAAGAGGCACGUGAGCUUCGCUGGUACGUGCUGAUGGUCGCGUGCCUCCUCACUUUUGGGAGCUACUACAUCUACGACUUCCCUGGCUCCAUUGGCAGCGGCAGAGGCAACACAAUCGAGAACCACUUCAAAGCACAUCAGAAAAUCUACACGGAAAGCAUGAACCAGUACCUUUACAGUGUGUACGCAUGGCCGAAUACGAUCCUCUCCGCUCUGGGCGGCCUCCUCAUCGACAAGUAUCUCGGGCUGCGCGGGGCAAUGGUCCUCUUUUCCGUGCUCAUUCUCACUGGGGCCGUUCUCUUUUGCAUCGGCGUACACGCGACGACGUAUUGGAUUAUGUUUGUCGGCCGUAUCGUGUUUGGCCUGGGCGGGGAGUCGCUCAGCGUCUCUCAGUCCGCUUUUGUGGCGCGAUGGUUCAAGGGUCAUCGCGGCAUGGCGCUUGCUUUCGGGAUCACCAUCAGCUUCUCUCGCGUCGGCUCAUCAUUCAACUUUCUGUUCGCGCCAGCGAUCGCGAACAAGUGGAGUAUCGACGCGGCUGCCGUUUCCGGUAUUGCUGCCUGCCUCAUCUCCAUGCUUGCGUGCGUUGUGCUCGUGAUGGCCGACCGCCAUGCCGAACGUCGCGGCUACCUAUCCGUUACCGAAGAAGACGAGAGCGACUCGACGGAGGAGGACGAGGCGAUGUGUUCAGGCGUCUUGCAGAUGCCGUUGGCGUACUGGCUGCUCUGCGCUGUUUGUGUGUUUUGCUACACCGCCGUAUUUCCUUUCGUGGGUGUGGGCAAGAACUUCUUCCAGGUUAAGUACGGCUACACCGGCGACGCAGCAGCCCGCUGCCUUUCCUUCUAUCAGAUCACCUCAGCGGUGGCGAGCCCGGUCAUCGGCUUGGCGGUGGACUCGGUGGGCCGCAACACAUGGUGGCUCAUCCUCGCUUGCUCGUGCUUUGCUGCCAUCCACGUGCUGUUCAUGACGACGAUGAUCCCUGGCGCUGUUCUCAUGGUGCUAAUGGGGUGCUUCUACACCUUUCUGGUGUCGGGGCUCUGGCCCUCGGUGCCAUGGGCCGUGCCAAGCACAGUUGUGGGGGUGGCGUACGGCGCGAUGACCUCGAUCCAGAACAUCGGCUUGGCAUUGUUUCCGAUGCUUGUGGGGGCAAUCCUGGACCACUUCCGGCAAAACGGCAACAACACGGCAGAGCUGACGCAGGAUCUGCCACCGUUGGAGGCCUUCAUGUGGACCGAGGCGCUCUUUUUGGUUUCGGCUUUGAUUGCCUUUCUGGCGAGCGUGGCUUUGCUUGUGGAGGACCGGCGCACGGGAGGAGUGCUUAGUGCCGCGAGCGCCAAGCGGCCGCAGAUCAUAGAGGACCUCAGUCGGCUACAGAAUGACUUUGAGGGUGUCGUGCCAGACUUGGAAGGCGUGGAAUACGAGAGGGAGGAGCCGCAACGCCAGGUGACAGAGCCACUUACAGGCAACGCGCGCGCCGACGCUGUGGCCACCGAAGUGGCUACGCGGGCGCACUCCGGGAAGUGAGUUGUGCUUACGGUGACGAGCGUUGCGCUCUCUUCUAGCAUGCGCUGUCGAGGACAGGAUAUGAAGUGUGCAUUUUGCAGGUGAGUUUCGCCGCAUCCUACCUUGUUGUCGACACUAGUGGUCAUCGACGGCAGUGCCGCUACCGCCGCCCUCGUGACCCCGAGGGGGAUCAGCAGAACUGCGACUGCUGGUAAUCCACACAUUCUCUGGAAUCGGCUCCCGUCAAGGGUACUCGCGACCCUCUGUGCUGGGCAAUCGGUUAGGGCCGCCGAUGGAUUGAACUUCUAUGCCCGCCAAGUUGCUAUUUUUUUUUUGCGUGUUUGUUGUCGUUCGCCUGUGCUUGCUUCUCUUCGUGUAUGCGUUCUUGGCUGCUCCGCUGCUCGUGUCAUGCCGAGCUGGGCACCGCUGCUUUUUCCCCUCGCUCACUCACUCCUUUCUGCACUUGUUUGUUUUGUACCCUCUGUUCUGCUUUUCUCUCGGUGCGCGUCACCCCUCGACGUUAGCGCCAUUGCCAACUCG
rnacentral:misc_RNA from 1 species